CGGGACGGGUGAGUAACGCGUGGGUAACCUGCCUUAUACUGGGGGAUAACAGCCAGAAAUGACUGCUAAUACCGCAUAAGCGCACAGAACCGCAUGGUUCCGUGUGAAAAACUCCGGUGGUAUAAGAUGGACCCGCGUUGGAUUAGCUAGUUGGCAGGGCAGCGGCCUACCAAGGCGACGAUCCAUAGCCGGCCUGAGAGGGUGAACGGCCACAUUGGGACUGAGACACGGCCCAG
rnacentral:rRNA from 1 species